GAAAUGCGAUAAGUAAUGUGAAUUGCAGAAUUCCGUGAAUCAUCGAAUCUUUGAACGCACAUUGCGCCCUCUGGUAUUCCGGGGGGCAUGCCUGUCCGAGCGUCAUUGCGAACCCCUCAAGCACGGCUUGUGUGAUGGGCCCUCCCGCGUCUUGGUCGUCAAGACGGGCCCGAAAAGCAGUGGCGGCUUCGCGGUUAUCCGAUCAGCCAGAGCGUAUGGGGACUUUCUCUCUGUCACACGCCCGCGGCGCGGACCGACGCCUGUCGACCGUUAUUCAUCUUUUUCUCGGUUGACCUCGGAUCAGGUAGGGAUACCCGCUGAACUUAAGC
rnacentral:misc_RNA from 1 species